CCAGACUCCUACGGGAGGCAGCAGUGGGGAAUAUUGGACAAUGGGGGGAACCCUGAUCCAGCCAUGCCGCGUGUGUGAAGAAGGCCUUUUGGUUGUAAAGCACUUUAAGCGAGGAGGAGGCUACCUAGAUUAAUACUUUAGGAUAGUGGACGUUACUCGCAGAAUAAGCACCGGCUAACUCUGUGCCAGCAGCCGCGGUAAUACAGAGGGUGCGAGCGUUAAUCGGAUUUACUGGGCGUAAAGCGUGCGUAGGCGGCCAAUUAAGUCAAAUGUGAAAUCCCCGAGCUUAACUUGGGAAUUGCAUUCGAUACUGGUUGGCUAGAGUAUGGGAGAGGAUGGUAGAAUUCCAGGUGUAGCGGUGAAAUGCGUAGAGAUCUGGAGGAAUACCGAUGGCGAAGGCAGCCAUCUGGCCUAAUACUGACGCUGAGGUACGAAAGCAUGGGGAGCAAACAGGAUUAGAUACCCUGGUAGUCCAUGCCGUAAACGAUGUCUACUAGCCGUUGGGGCCCUUGAGGCUUUAGUGGCGCAGCUAACGCGAUAAGUAGACCGCCUGGGGAGUACGGUCGCAAGACUAAAACUCAAAUGAAUUGACGGGGGCCCGCACAAGA
rnacentral:rRNA from 1 species